rnacentral:lncRNA from 1 species
AAUCUUAAAAGGGAUGUCUCAUAUUAAACCAUCUAAACAUAGUCAAACCAACAUGGGCAUAAGCCCUUACACAAUGUAGAAAUGCCACUUAGGGCUUACAACAAUAUCUUGAAACAACAUGAAUGAAAAAAUUGUCUUUAGACUAUAACAAUGUAACAUAGGUAGUGUGAUAGAAAGACAUCAUCCUCGGAACAUGAGGACAUUCCCACUUGGAGAAUGAUUCCAAGCCUUCCUAAAAAAGUCGUCACAAACCCUUUAACGACCGAAACUUAUAAUGUUGGGAAAAAAAGGGAGAAAUGAGGUUCGCACAUCACUUGUAUUAAGUAUGGAAUCAUAUGCACAUACAACAUAGAAAUAAUGCUAAAAAGGGACAUUUCAUUAAAGCAUGGUAAUUUAUUUUGAAAACACCUUAUGCACAUUUAAGAACCAAUACAAGUCAAUAGUACAUAUCAUUAAGUCAAGACUAUGUACAUCUCAAGACCAACAAUAUCAAGUCUAGUCAAGUCAACAUGCAUAUCAACAUAAUUAAUCACAUAAUCAAGACAACUCUAUCAUCAAGUUAUAAUAUCAACAAGCAUGUAUAAAAGUUCAUAACUUCAUAACCAAAGCAAGAUCAUUACUCAUGAACCCUCAUCAAGUCCAUUAGUGAAAUGACUAAGUAAGACCCCACAAGCUCACUCAACAAAGUAAACCUAACAAGAACCACAAGUAAUGCCCAACUUCACAUACUAUAUCAUUAAGAGUAAACAUCAUCAUACUUUAGCAAUAGAGAUCAAACACAUGUUCAUAAAUGAAACCAACAUCACAUAGUGUCAUUAACAUGUAAGAUCAUCAUAUACAUAUUAUUUACAUUGGCUUAUAAAUACAUAAACACAUAAGAACAUCCUCCUAAGACUUCCCUCAAGGCUAACUAACUAGUGCAAUGUAUAGGUAGAGUUCAUACCUCUACCUAGACUAAGCUGAACCCCUUAGGUCAUCCUAGUUAGACUUCACUUUAUUACUUCGUUGUACCUUUUGGGAACAUCUUGCCUUAACCGACAUAGACCACAUGAGCUAAUGUGAAAUUCGAUGUCAUGGAACCCUACACCAAAAGACGGCGGACUUUAGGACUUUGUACAUUUUUUGUCACCUAAGGUCUCUUUGUGAGAAGGUCCUUAUUAUUAAUUGCGACAGUAGAAGGAAAGCCUAUUGCAAUUGAUAAAACAACACAAGAUUGUACUAGGCCAAGUAUGAUUAGGGUUAAGUAAUUCUAGACCUACUAGACAAGCAUCCAGAUCAUGUAAGACUACAAAUUCUGGAGAAAGAAUCGAAUAAAAUUAUUGAGCAUUAUCAAAUAAUUAUCUAUGACAAUCUUCCAAUAUAUUGUACUAAUUGUAAACAUCAAGGACAUGAGGAUGAGGAAAAUGAAUGUUGUUUAUUACUAGGGAAGACAUUGUCAUAAGGUGAUCGUUUAAUCGAUGAAACUGGUGAAGAUGUUGCCCUUACACAAUCUGAUUCUGAGGCUAAGAAUAUGAAACAAUUAACGGGAGAUGCACAUUAUUUUUUGAACUCUAAGAGUUGCGAAAAUAUAUAUCAAACGACCAAUUGACGAUCAAAAUGUGGUGCAACAAUUGGCUAGGAAUCAUAGUUCUUUGACUAUAGUUGAUGGAGUCUCAAAGCUGCAUGGUGUAAGUACUAAUGAGUUUGGGGGUGAUACGUUAGUGGAUUCAACUCCUAAAUCUACUUUGAUUGGUGAAGAGGUAAUAAAAGAGGGUGUGGACCAUCAAGUAAUACCCGAAGCUUCAAUUUUACCGAAUGAAAAUUCUGCUCAGACUAUUGAGAAUGAUUUGAAAGCCGAUGUUUCUGGCAUUGAGAAUUCAAAUUGCGAAAAUCUUUAAAUGAGGUCCCCUAACAUGUUGAAAAAUUGGUAUGUUUAGCCAUGGAACAGUGUUUUGGGAAGCGAGAAGCGGAAAAAAGCGACGAGGGCUUGCUUCACAGAAGCGAGAAGCGUGAAGCGAAGUGCGCGCUUUUUUUUUUAAAAAGGCGACAGUUAGUAUAAAAAUAAAAAAAUAUUAAAUAACUAAAAAGAGGUAAUAUAGUCUUAGAUUGAAAGAAAUUACUUAGACAAAAAUACUCACAAGUCAUAACAUAUAAAGCAAAAAAUCAAAAACAUAAUUAAAUCACAAAAUACUACAAACAAAAGGAAGUUUCAGAAAAUAAUAAAAAAAGGCUGCUAGCAUACACACUGAUCACCAAAAAAAAAAAAAAGAAUUGAAAAAAAAAACAGAGGCAGCAGUCAGUAAGAACUAAGAAGAAAAGAGCAGGCAGCAGAGAAUAGAGAUGAAGAAAAGAAGAGAAGAAGAAGAAAAAAGAGAUGAACAAAUUACCUGCAGGCCUCAGUCGAGAUCUUGAGGAGAGAAAGAAGGGAGGCAGCCAGCAGCCUCAGUCGAGAUCUUCACGAGAAAAAUAAGGGCGGCAGCCAGCAGCCUCAGUCGAGAGCUUCAGGAGAGAGAAGGGAAAGAAAGUCGUGAGGAGAGAAGGGAAAAGAGUCGCGAGGAGAGAAGGGAAAGAAGAGUUGUGAGGAG